rnacentral:rRNA from 2 species
GCAUAUCAAUAAGCGGAGGAAAAGAAACCAACAGGGAUUACCUCAGUAACGGCGAGUGAAGCGGUAACAGCUCAAAUUUGAAAGCUAGCUCUUUUAGGGUUCGCAUUGUAAUUUGUAGAAGAUGCUUCGGGUGUGGCCCCGGUCUAAGUUCCUUGGAACAGGACGUCAUAGAGGGUGAGAAUCCCGUAUGUGACUGGGUGCUUUCGCUCAUGUGAAGCUCUUUCGACGAGUCGAGUUGUUUGGGAAUGCAGCUCAAAAUGGGUGGUAAAUUUCAUCUAAAGCUAAAUAUUGGCCAGAGACCGAUAGCGCACAAGUAGAGUGAUCGAAAGAUGAAAAGCACUUUGGAAAGAGAGUUAAACAGUACGUGAAAUUGUUGAAAGGGAAGCGCUUGCAACCAGACUUGCGCGCUGAUGAUCAUCCGGGCUUCUGCCCGGUGCACUCGUCUGCGCUCAGGCCAGCAUCGGUUUCGGUGGUGGGAUAAAGGCCUUGGGAAUGUAGCUCCUCUCGGGGAGUGUUAUAGCCCUCGGUGCAAUGCCGCCUACCGGGACCGAGGACCGCGCUUCGGCUAGGAUGCUGGCGUAAUGGUUGUAAGCGACCCGUCUUGAAACACGGACCAAGGAGUCUAACAUCUAUGCGAGUGUUUGGGUGUCAAACCCAUACGCGUAAUGAAAGUGAACGGAGGUGAGAACCCUUAAGGGUGCAUCAUCGACCGAUCCUGAUGUCUUCGGAUGGAUUUGAGUAAGAGCAUAGCUGUUGGGACCCGAAAGAUGGUGAACUAUGCGUGAAUAGGGUGAAGCCAGAGGAAACUCUGGUGGAGGCUCGCAGCGGUUCUGACGUGCAAAUCGAUCGUCAAAUUUGCGUAUAGGGGCGAAAGACUAAUCGAACCAUCUAGUAGCUGGUUCCUGCCGAAG